UAUAAUGCAGUCGAGCGGACAGAUGGGAGCUUGCUCCCUGAUGUUAGCGGCGGACGGGUGAGUAACACGUGGGUAACCUGCCUGUAAGACUGGGAUAACUCCGGGAAACCGGGGCUAAUACCGGAUGGUUGUUUGAACCGCAUGGUUCAAACAUAAAAGGUGGCUUCGGCUACCACUUACAGAUGGACCCGCGGCGCAUUAGCUAGUUGGUGAGGUAACGGCUCACCAAGGCAACGAUGCGUAGCCGACCUGAGAGGGUGAUCGGCCACACUGGGACUGAGACACGGCCCAGACUCCUACGGGAGGCAGCAGUAGGGAAUCUUCCGCAAUGGACGAAAGUCUGACGGAGCAACGCCGCGUGAGUGAUGAAGGUUUUCGGAUCGUAAAGCUCUGUUGUUAGGGAAGAACAAGUACCGUUCGAAUAGGGCGGUACCUUGACGGUACCUAACCAGAAAGCCACGGCUAACUACGUGCCAGCAGCCGCGGUAAUACGUAGGUGGCAAGCGUUGUCCGGAAUUAUUGGGCGUAAAGGGCUCGCAGGCGGUUUCUUAAGUCUGAUGUGAAAGCCCCCGGCUCAACCGGGGAGGGUCAUUGGAAACUGGGGAACUUGAGUGCAGAAGAGGAGAGUGGAAUUCCACGUGUAGCGGUGAAAUGCGUAGAGAUGUGGAGGAACACCAGUGGCGAAGGCGACUCUCUGGUCUGUAACUGACGCUGAGGAGCGAAAGCGUGGGGAGCGAACAGGAUUAGAUACCCUGGUAGUCCACG
rnacentral:rRNA from 1 species